GCUGGCGGCAGGCCUAACACAUGCAAGUCGAGCGGUAACAGAAAGAAAGCUUGCUUUCUUUGCUGACGAGCGGCGGACGGGUGAGUAAUGCCUGGGAAUAUGCCUUAGUGUGGGGGAUAACUAUUGGAAACGAUAGCUAAUACCGCAUAACGUCUUCGGACCAAAGAGGGGGACCUUCGGGCCUCUCGCGCUAAGAUUAGCCCAGGUGGGAUUAGCUAGUUGGUGAGGUAAAGGCUCACCAAGGCAACGAUCCCUAGCUGGUCUGAGAGGAUGAUCAGCCACACUGGAACUGAGACACGGUCCAGACUCCUACGGGAGGCAGCAGUGGGGAAUAUUGCACAAUGGGGGAAACCCUGAUGCAGCCAUGCCGCGUGUAUGAAGAAGGCCUUCGGGUUGUAAAGUACUUUCAGUCGUGAGGAAGGCAUUGUAGUUAAUAGCUGCAGUGCUUGACGUUAGCGACAGAAGAAGCACCGGCUAAUUCCGUG
rnacentral:rRNA from 1 species